rnacentral:rRNA from 1 species
CCCUUAGAUGUCCUGGGCUGCACGCGCGCUACACUGAUGUGUCCAGUAAGCACCUAACCUCUUCAGAAAGGAACGGGUAACCUUUGCAAAGCACAUCGUGAUGGGGAUAGAUUAUUGCAAUUAUUAGUCUUGAACGAGGAAUUCCUAGUAAGCACAAGUCAUCAGCUUGUGUUGAUUACGUCCCUGCCCUUUGUACACACCGCCCGUCGCUCCUACCGAUUGAAUGUUCCGGUGAGCUCUUCGGACUGCGCGGUCUGCAGUUUCUGCGUUCCGUGCGGAAAGUUGCGCAAACCUUAACAUUUAGAGGAAGGAGAAGUCGUAACA